CCCCAGUGAUAUCGUUUGGAUGUUUGACACCCCCAAAACCUCAGGCUGACAUUGGAUCGCCAGUGUUGGUGCCGGCCUAGUGGGAGGUGUCUGGUCACUGGUGUGGUGGGAGGCGUCUGGGUCACUGGUGUGAUGGGAGGUGUCUGGGUCACUGGUGUGGUGGGAGGUGUCUGGUCAUUGUGGUAGGAGGUGUCUGGUCACCGGUGUGGUGGGAGGUGUCUGGUCACCGGUGUGGUGGGAGGUGUGUGGUCACUGGUGUGGUGGGAGGUGUGUGGUCACUGGUGUGGUGGGAGGUGUCUGGUCAUUGUUGUGGUGGGAGGUGUCUGGUCACUGGUGUGGCCCCUACAUAAAUGUCUUGGUGCCAUCCUCACUCUAUUUGUCUCAUUUCAUUAGCUCUCGCGAGAUCUGAUUGUUAAAAAGAGCCUGGCAGCUCCUUUCCUCUCUCUCUGUCCCUCUUUAUGGCUUUUUUCCUCUUGGCAUGUGAUGCCUGCUCCGCUU
rnacentral:lncRNA from 10 species